CUUUGUCUUUACCUGUCUAGUGUCAUAUCUUGUUCACUUUUUAUUUACACUUCAUGAGGACAAGUUAGUGUUGGCCUAUGAAACUCCUUGAGGAUUAUUUAAUCAGAACUAAUCCAGAUAAUUAAUAAAGAAAUAUUCAAUUUUAUGAAGUUGAAGAUUGUCUUGCUCAGCAAGGAUUUAAAAUUUCUGGAUAUUUAGGUCCUCAAGACCUUUCUUUUUGGCCACACGCUAUCUUUAAGGCCAACAAUGUUUCUUUCUCUCCAAUUCAUUUGGAUGUUGUGAGUUUUUUUUUGAAACACGCUUGUCCAGGGUCGAUAUACAUAUAUAAUAUAACCUGUAUAACUGUGAAGUAUCCAAGUAUAUAAAUGCCGUACGACAUCGUCCACGUGUAUAACAUCGACAAAA
rnacentral:lncRNA from 1 species